GUCGUAACAAGGUCUCCGUAGGUGAACCUGCGGAGGGAUCAUU
rnacentral:rRNA from 7 species